UACGUAGGGUGCGAGCGUUGUCCGGAAUUAUUGGGCGUAAAGGGCUCGUAGGCGGUUUGUCGCGUCGGGAGUGAAAUCCACUGGCUUAACUGGUGGCUUGCUUUCGAUACGGGCAGACUGGAGGUAUGCAGGGGAGAACGGAAUUCCUGGUGUAGCGGUGAAAUGCGCAGAUAUCAGGAGGAACACCGGUAGCGAAGGCGGUUCUCUGGGCAUGUCCUGACGCUGAGGAGCGAAAGUGUGGGGAGCGAACAGG
rnacentral:rRNA from 1 species